ACGUAGGUGGCAAGCGUUGUCCGGAAUUAUUGGGCGUAAAGCGCGCGCAGGCGGCUUCUUAAGUCCAUCUUAAAAGUGCGGGGCUUAACCCCGUGAUGGGAUGGAAACUGGGAGGCUGGAGUAUCGGAGAGGAAAGUGGAAUUCCUAGUGUAGCGGUGAAAUGCGUAGAGAUUAGGAAGAACACCAGUGGCGAAGGCGACUUUCUGGACGACAACUGACGCUGAGGCGCGAAAGCGUGGGGAGCAAACAG
rnacentral:rRNA from 1 species